rnacentral:rRNA from 1 species
UGGGGAAUAUUGCACAAUGGGCGAAAGCCUGAUGCAGCGACGCCGCGUGAGGGAUGACGGCCUUCGGGUUGUAAACCUCUUUCAGCAGGGACGAAGCGCAAGUGACGGUACCUGCAGAAGAAGCACCGGCUAACUACGUGCCAGCAGCCGCGGUAAUACGUAGGGUGCAAGCGUUGUCCGGAAUUACUGGGCGUAAAGAGUUCGUAGGCGGUUUGUCGCGUCGUUUGUGAAAACCAGCAGCUCAACUGCUGGCUUGCAGGCGAUACGGGCAGACUUGAGUACUGCAGGGGAGACUGGAAUUCCUGGUGUAGCGGUGAAAUGCGCAGAUAUCAGGAGGAACACCGGUGGCGAAGGCGGGUCUCUGGGCAGUAACUGACGCAGAGGAACGAAAGCGUGGGUAGCGAACAGG